rnacentral:rRNA from 1 species
CCUACGGGAGGCAGCAGUGAGGAAUAUUGGUCAAUGGCCGUAAGGCUGAACCAGCCAAGUCGCGUGAAGGAAGAAGGAUCUAUGGUUUGUAAACUUCUUUUAUAGGGGAAUAAAGGUAUCCACGUGUGGAUAUUUGCAUGUACCCUAUGAAUAAGCAUCGGCUAACUCCGUGCCAGCAGCCGCGGUAAUACGGAGGAUGCGAGCGUUAUCCGGAUUUAUUGGGUUUAAAGGGUGCGUAGGUUGUUUUUUAAGUCAGCGGUGAAAGUUUGUGGCUCAACCAUAAAAUUGCCGUUGAAACUGGAAGACGUGAGUGUGUUUGAGGUAGGCGGAAUGCGUGGUGUAGCGGUGAAAUGCAUAGAUAUCACGCAGAACUCCGAUUGCGAAGGCAGCUUACUAAGCCAUAACUGACACUGUAGCACGAAAGCGUGGGGAUCAAACAGGAUUAGAUACCCUUGUAGUC